rnacentral:rRNA from 1 species
UACGGGGGGAGCAAGCGUUGUUCGGAUUUACUGGGCGUAAAGGGCGCGUAGGCGGCCACCGCAAGUCGAUUGUGAAAUCUCCGGGCUUAACUCGGAAAGGUCAACCGAUACUGCGGGGCUAGAGUGCAGAAGGGGCAACUGGAAUUCUCGGUGUAGCGGUGAAAUGCGUAGAUAUCAAGAGGAGUACCUGAGGUGAAGACGGGUUGCUAGGCUGACACUGACGCUGAGGCGCGAAAGCCAGGGGAGCAAACGGG